CUCCUCUGAAGGUGACAAAAUUUCCUUAUUUGAUAGCUGAGGUAGAAUUUCUUGUCUGCUUUCUGAUUCUCCAUUGUUCAAGUUAUCAUUUGAUAUAAUGGAAUUAAAUGGAUUUCUCCUUUGUUUUAUUGUUGAUGCUGCUGCCUUCACAGAUCUUCUAUCUGGUUUGCCUAACAAAGAGUUUACUGGGUUAUAACUUGAACUAGAUUUCAGUUCUUC
rnacentral:lncRNA from 1 species